GUAACUUUGUAACGUUGCCAGUUGGUAACUACGACGUCGUGGCAACCUUGUGGAUCUAUAGUCGUGUGUUGGUUUCUAAUCAUGUAAAUGAACAAAGAAGGUUUUCUUCAGAAGCUUGAACACCGAACCAUUUACUCCUCCACAUCUACUCCUCCGUCCACUCCUCUACAUGUCCCUAAAACAAGAAAAAUGAAAUGAAAGAAAGAAAGGACCAGCUUUCCAUUUCAUGACGGCAUCUGGAAUUAAACAGAGGUCACAGCCGUUACAGUAUGCUGUAGUGGCUCCAUACAUUGUUAUUGGCUACUGCGCGCAUUACCCUCCUUACAAACUCCCCUGGACUGGCCCCACUAAUAAGGCUGAGAUGGUGUGUCUGGAAGAAAACACCAUUUGUUGGCAUGCAGG